CCGCAAGGAGCGUACGAAGGUAAUACCGGUAACUGGGGCUAAGUCGUAACAAGGUAGCCGUACCGGAAGGUGCGGCUGGAACACCUCCUUUCUGGAGAAGA
rnacentral:rRNA from 1 species